AACAGUUUUGAAGAUGCGGCCCAGGGCACACCACCGUGUGGAGAGGCCCGGAGCGCGGUGAUUGAGCGUCUUUAUCGCUGAUCACCGGGCGACCCCGCCGAUUCCGUGUGGUACCUCUCCCUGCUCUGCCUCUGGCAGUACUUCGGGGUUUCACGGACUCCGCGGCGCCGGGCACUAGGACCCCGCGGGGAGCAGAGGGAAGGGAAGGCGGCCGCGGUCAGGGAGCCUGGUGGACUUGUCCGGUCUGACCGCCUGGGCUGGAAAACUUUUUCUUUUUAAUUAUUUCUCCUCGCCGGAGCGCUAGGGCUGCUAAGCGCGCGGGGCUGGCUCGGCUACCCUGCGCGGGGCCGCCAAUUUUUCCCUGUGCGACGGGCGGAGCUGGAUUCCGGGGCUGGGGUACCGGGACGAGGGGAGCGCUCUGAAGCGGGAGGCGAACUUGCCUCCGGAACGGGGAUCCCGAAGCGGGCUGGCUGUCAACGGGCUGGAAUCCGUUGACCUCUCCCCGAAUCCCUAUUCAGAUAUCCUAGUUCCAGCCACCAUGCUCUCUCGCCUGGACCAUUGCAGCAGCCUCUAACCAGUGUCCCUGCAGUCCUCCUUGCCUCCCCCUCCCCCAAGCAUCUCCACAAAGCAGCCUGAGUUACCCGUUGAACAUGUGCUGGGAUCAUGUCACUCACCUACUUCAACUUCCUGUGACCUCCCACUGCAUGUGGAAGAAGACGGGUGAUGUCUCAACCUGGCCACAAGGCCUGCAUAAUUUGUCCCUCACCUCUUCUUACUCCUCAGACUCUUCUUGGCUCCGAACUAUGCUCUUUGGAGAGCCUAGUGUCUCCCAGCCUCAGGGUGCUUCAGUUUGCUGUGCUGGCUCCCUGGAAUGUUCUUCCGAAAUGUUGGCAUGACUCCUUCUUCCUGUCAUUUGAGUCUCCCCUUCUUGAAGAGGUUCCUCUCAGAAUGCCAGCUCCACAGACAGGACCUUGUCUGUCCUGUUCCGCCUAUUUCCAGAGCUAGAACAGGCCUUGGCAUAUGGAAGAGCCUCAAAUAUUUGUUGACUGGACAGGAAUGGAUUCUAUUCAAGAAAACCCUUACCCGGCCAUCCUCCCAGAACUCAGCUUCUUCCCAAGCCUAGGAGGGGUGCUCAAGGGUGGCCCCAAAGGAUGCUGGGGAACACCCAACCCCCUGGGUAUCAGGAGCCUCUGAAGCCGUGCCUGGCAAUACUGCCAGGGCCUGGAGGGUCUACACAGUGCCUCCUGGCUAACUGGAAAGAAGCCCCUCAGGCAGAUGCAGCCCCUGGGGCUUGGCUGAGCAGAAAGUGCCUUUGUCAGGAGGAAACGGGCCCCUUUCUCUGGAGAGGUGCAGCCCAGCCAGGACACAAGGCUAGGUGAGUGGAGGCCUCCUGAUGGGGCUCGUUUGUGUAGCGACAACUUCUCAGCCAGACAAGACAGCUCUGGAACCCCCUCUCCUCCCACUCUGGCUCCAGAGCACCCCUAUCUGUAGGGCACUGCUGGGAGGGUGCCCAGGAGAGCAAGACUUAGUCCUUGGACACGAGGCAUCAGAUCCACCUGGGAGAACAGGCCUGCCUCCUGCAGGCUCACGUGGGAGGCAGUGGCCGCCCCAGCAUGUCGACCUCACAGCCCUACUGCUCAAGAGGUGGGGCCGAGCUCCUGGCCCACUUUUGUGCACCAACCAUUUGGAUCCCAUUGCUUCUCUUUGCUGAUUCCAAGGAUUUAUCCCUCAAGAUGCAUCUUAAAAAACAACAAACAAAUAAAAUUUAAAGAAGGCAAGAAACUAAACUGCAAAUCAAAGCAAGAGUCUUUGGGUGCCGGCGCAUGGAGGGCUCAGCUCUAGCCCUCUUCCCUUGUGAUUGUGCUGUUCCCCGGUCUCAUGCCCGCCACGCCGGGUAAAACAUCCCCUGAGUGCAGACACUGGAGCUACAGGAGAAACAAGCUGCCCACAGCGGGCUGCCCAUGUCUCCAGACUCCUAUCCGUUCCAGCCUGUUCGAGUCCUCCCAAAGGAAGCUGAUAUCAGGUCCCGCUAUGGUCUGUGCUAAUAGACUGUCUGCUUAUGGAGGUAACAAGCAGAAUGGCUAAUGUGCCAUUCUUGACUUCCAGGAUAAAGCCUUAACGGAAAAAAAGGCAACUUGCAGAACAACAUGCAGCUCCCACUUUUUGAGAACCGAUUUUUAAAAUAUAUCUUAUGGGUAUAUAGAAAAAAGUUAGGAGGAAUACACACCGAACUGUGAACAAUGGUGCUGCCCUGGUAGGAAGGCAGAAAACUUGCACUUUAAAUGUAUACACUUACGUAUAUUGCACUUUUCUUUUUAAUCCUCACCCGAGGAUAUGUUUUUAUUGAUUUUAAGAGAGAGAGGAUGGGAGAGAGAAACAUCUAUCAGUUGCCUCCUGCAUGUGCCCUGACUGGGGAUCAAACCCAAAACCUAGGUAUGUGCCCUGACCUGCAAUUGAACCCAUAACCCUUUGGUGUACGGGACAAGGCUCCAACCAACUGAGCACCCGGCUAGGGCGUAUAUUGGACUUUUUAAACAGACAAGUAUGUGUUUAUUACUUUUAUAGCUUUAUAAACUAUAAAAAUAUUUUAAAUCACAUUAAAUUUAUAGUUUUAUAAUUUUUAUAGUUUUAUAAACUAUAAAAUGCUUUA